GGGUCACCUUUGUACAUUCGUGAUAAAUUUCCAAACAAAAAAAUAUCCUGUGUAAAUGGUAUACUAAUACCGUUAUGGAGAAACCACAUUUCAGUUUGCUCAAUAAAUUGUUGUACAUAAUAACAAUCCCACAGUAUAUGUUCAAUUGAUUCAAGUUCAGUCUUACAAAAAGUACAAUAUGGGUUUUGCACAAUCCCAAUUUUGUUUAAAAAUGUAUUUGUUGCCAGAAUUUUAUGAUUAAUUCUAUACUGAAGCCAUUGUAGCUUAGUAUUUUUUGUAAUAGCAAAUGGUAGUUGAAAAAUCUUUUUCCAGUUUUGAUUUUCUAAAACUAAAAUUGCUUCCCAUCUUUUUACUCCUGUAGGAACAGUGUUGUUUUUGUUUAGCACCAAAUACAUAUCUUUAGAUCCCUUUUUGCUUUUGAGAAUGGUCUUUAUAACUGAUGGUAUGAAAGGAGAUACUAAUUUAUAAUCUCCCCUUUUAAUUUUUUUGGAAGUCUUAGUUAGCAUAGAAAUUAUGCUAUUAUAUUUCAUGAUGUCUAUAUCCAUCUGAAAACACUCCUGAAAUUGAUAAAAAUUUAGAAAGGUACCAUUCUCCCCCACAAUAUCAUUUACAUAUAAAAUACCCUUACUAUGCCAGUCUUUGAAAAAAACUGGUUUGUUAUCAAUUUGGAAUAGGUUAUUCAUCCAAAUUGGACUGGAAAGAAAAUAUUCCCAGUCGUGCAAAUUCAUUUCUUUUUCAAUUACCAUUUGCCAAGCACCCAGUACAUCUUUCCAAAAUUUAUUCUUAAUACUUUGCUGUAGUUGCUUUACAUAGCUAUUACCACAACUAAAUAAUCUAUCUUUAUCAACAUAUG
rnacentral:lncRNA from 1 species